GACGAACGCUGGCGGCGUGCUUAACACAUGCAAGUCGUACGGUAAGGCCCUUUCGUGGGUACACGAGUGGCGAACGGGUGAGUAACACGUGAGUAACCUGCCCACAACUUUGGGAUAACGCUAGGAAACUGGUGCUAAUACUGGAUAUGUGCUCCUGCUGCAUGGUGGGGGUUGGAAAGCUCCGGCGGUUGUGGAUGGACUCGCGGCCUAUCAGCUUGUUGGUGGGGUAGUGGCCUACCAAGGCGGCGACGGGUAGCCGGCCUGAGAGGGUGACCGGCCACAUUGGGACUGAGAUACGGCCCAGACUCCUACGGGAGGCAGCAGUGGGGAAUAUUGCACAAUGGGCGCAAGCCUGAUGCAGCAACGCCGCGUGCGGGAUGACGGCCUUCGGGUUGUAAACCGCUUUCAGCAGGGACGAAGCUUUUUGUGACGGUACCUGCAGAAGAAGCACCGGCUAACUACGUG
rnacentral:rRNA from 1 species